rnacentral:tRNA from 1 species
GGUAGUGUGGCUUAGUGAUUGAGUGCUUGCCUAGCAUGCAUGAAGCCCUGGGUUCGAUUCCUCACUACCA